rnacentral:rRNA from 1 species
UACGGAGGGUGCAAGCGUUAUCCGGAUUCACUGGGUUUAAAGGGUGCGUAGGUGGGCAGUUAAGUCAGUGGUGAAAUCUCCGGGCUCAACCCGGAAACUGCCAUUGAUACUAUCUGUCUUGAAUAUUGUUGAGGUGGGCGGAAUAUGUCAUGUAGCGGUGAAAUGCUUAGAUAUGACAUAGAACACCGAUUGCGAAGGCAGCUCACUAAACAAUGAUUGACGCUGAGGCACGAAAGCGUGGGGAUCAAACAGG